GCUGGUCAUGUGAUCUCAAAAUAAUGGCCAAGAUGGUUGCACGAUGAGGGACGACCUACCUUAUCUAGAGUGAAACACUACCGGACAUGCGUAUAAACGACACCUACAGGAUCCUUACCUGCUUGUUUACACCACAAGAGAUUCAACUGGCAAAAUUCCCUUUACGACGUACUAAUUACCUCUCUGCCCGGGUCUGACUACACCUUCCUUCACUUUCGCUGAGGUCUCAGUCGGAUUAUGGAUUACUACGGAGUCUUAUUAUCUCUCUCACCCAUAUGAGCAGUAAUGUAGUGUGAAGGGAAGGGGUUGAGAGUUUAAAUGAAGACCUCCUGCUGGUUAAGAUCUCAGAACGCACACCUGCCUCAAUCCCCACAUUUGGGUUCCUGCAUCUCUGCUUCCAGACCUGGAGGGGAGAAAAAAAACUACCGUGUGAUGUCGCACCAUGAGGGGGGCUGGAUUUAGAGGAAUCGGAGGGAAGUCAGACCACAGACUCUCAGAGGGUGGCCGUUCUUCAGGUUCAGCCUUCAAACAGAGCGAUUGUUUGUGGAGUUCCACAAUGUUCCUCUUAUGAAUCUUUUGUGUUCGUCUUGGCCUGGCUGGCUUAAGAUUAAAAGGCAGGCCUGAGUUCUGAAAAUAGCAUUACAUGGCUGUCAGCUCAGUUUUCACUCUAUUUAGUCUGUUUUAUUAUUUUCAUUCAGUUCUCUUGAUUCAUACAGUAUAUUAACAUUUUUCAAAUCAGAAUGUCUUUUAUUUGGCCAAUACAAAGAUGAUAGCGCAAAUUUUUGAUGCUACUGAGGUCACUUUUCUGCAGAAAAUUCUCAGAAAUGUAAAUAAGGGAUCUUAUUUUGCAAAUAAAAGCUUUCCAUGAAAUGAUGGACUGUU